GAUGAACGCUGGCGGCGUGCCUAAUACAUGCAAGUCGAGCGAACAGACGAGGAGCUUGCUCCUCUGACGUUAGCGGCGGACGGGUGAGUAACACGUGGAUACCCUACCUAUAAGACUGGGAUAACUUCGGGAAACCGGAGCUAAUACCGGAUAAUAUAUUGAACCGCAUGGUUCAAUAGUGAAAGACGGUUUUGCUGUCACUUAUAGAUGGAUCCGCGCCGCAUUAGCUAGUUGGUAAGGUAACGGCUUACCAAGGCGACGAGGCGUAGCCGACCUGAUAGGGUGAUCGGCCGCACUGGAGCUGGGACACGGCCAAGACUCCUACGGGAGGCAGCAGUAGGGAACCUUCCGCAGUGGGCGGAAGCCUUACGGAGCAAGGCCGCGUGAGUGAUGACGGUCUUCCGAGCGUAAAGCUCUCUUAUUAGUGAAGAACAAAUGUGUAAGUAACUAUGCACGGCUUGACGGUACCUAAUCAGAAAGCCCCGGCUAACUACGUG
rnacentral:rRNA from 1 species